rnacentral:rRNA from 1 species
UACGUAGGGGGCAAGCGUUGUCCGGAUUUAUUGGGCGUAAAGCGCGUGUAGGCGGCCAGAUAGGUCUGCUGUGAAAACUCGAGGCUCAACCUCGAGCUGUCGGCGGAAACCAUCUGGCUAGAGUCCGGAAGAGGAGAAUGGAAUUCCUGGUGUAGCGGUGAAAUGCGCAGAUAUCAGGAAGAACACCCGUGGCGAAGGCGGUUCUCUGGGACGGUACUGACGCUGAGACGCGAAAGCGUGGGGAGCGAACAGG